GGGUCCAGUACAAAAACUUGGGGGAGGGAGUAUUUUAUUUUUUGCUGUUGUCUUGUUGAUGUUCCUCACUGACUGUUAAUUAUUUCCUUGACAGAACUAAGUUAUUUCAGUCUAGAUUUGAGAUUCUAUUGGUUUGAGGGCUUCUGAGGCAAAGAAUUUAUCCCCUUGUGCUGAGUUCCAACUCUUCUUUAGCUCAGGAUCUGAGUGUUAACUGAGGUCAUAGAGGCCAUGGGAAUUUCCCAUAAUCACUCAACAAGUCUCUAUCAGAGGCAGAAACUGAAACCUAAGUCUUCCUGAUUCUCAGCUGUCACUCUGUCUCUCAGAGUAGAAAUUACUUUUAAAAAAGGAUGAUUCAGGAAGGUCAAGUCUAUAUAAGAGCACAUCCACUGAAGCCCUUCUAAUGCUCCUUUGUGGCCUGGGGAGCUGACCCCAGACUCAUGAAGGCUCUACUAGAUCCCACAAAUCUCAAGGAAAGGUUUUCUGAAGGGGGCCAGUGGUUGCCUGUUUAUCUAGAGGCAUUGUGGUGCCACAGAAGUAAUGAUGGAUUUGGAGGCAGAAGACUUGAGUUAUGAUUCCAACUCAGUCCCUUCUGAUUUCUAUGACUUCAAGCAAUUUAAUUUAACUCAAUUCAGCAGACGUUGAUUAAGUCCCUUCAUCUCUGAGGGCCUAUUCCUCAUCUGUCAAACUAAGGGUUCAGACUAGAUAAAUCUAAGACUCCUUCUAGUUCUAAACCCUUGAUCCCAAGUUUUGUUGUUCAAGGACUAGUCUGCCUCAAUUCACAGAAGCUUGCUGGUCCCAGGACGAUGCAUUUUGGGCUACAACAAACUCUUUAAGGCCAUUGACUCAAUUAAAGAAGUGCCCUAGCCUCUGCUGGCAGAGAGUUUCUAUACCAUCCAAAGGAUGGGGCCUUAAAAUACUAAGAGCUGGGUAGAGAAGAAGCUUCUCGAGGACAAGACUGUGGUACUUGUCUUUGUAGCUGCAGUGCCUGGCACAGUUGAACUGUGUUGUAUUGAAGCCACAUCUCUUUCAGGAUCUGACCCAGGCUACCCAUAAUGCUGUGUGACUUGGUCAAUAUUUGCUCACAAGGUGUUGUCCAGGGAGGUAGAUAUGAAAAAUAGGAACUAGUGAGUGACUGCUGGACGCAGAGUAUAAGAGCCCAGCAGCAGAUGGCUUGCUCACUUCCAGGGUGUGGGGUAUGUUCUGUUCCCAAAUCAGCCACAAGAACACAGCUAUUGCCUGGGGAAGCCUGGGGAAGGCAAGGAACUGGAUGGAGGUGACUAAGAAUUGAAAGUCUCCUUUGGCUUUCAGUCAAGACAUUCCUGGUGGAGAUGCUGCCAUCACAGUCUGAUACCAUGGAGACACUUGGAACUCAGAACACAUUUACAAGCUCAAGACCCUCUAAUCCUCCUAGAGGGCUCAGGGAAGGCAUUUCUAUAGUUUAUGCAAGUCAAUUCAAUCUAAAGAGCAUUUAGUAAGUACCUACUGUGUGCUAGGCACUGUACUAUGUGUUGGGGAUACAAGGACAAAAAUAACUCUUGCUCACAGGGGGCUUCCAUUCUACUUGGGCCAUUUAUACAGCUCCAAUGGCCAGUACGAUGGUGGGUGAUUUAGAGAGAAGUCAGAAAGAUAAGUUAGCUUAUUUUACUAAAGCUGAUUGCAUUGAAAAUGAACUCUGGUUUAUCCCUGUAAGGAUUACCUACUUUACAGUUCAUUUUAAGCCUUAAGCUUGCUUUCCUCCAUCAACCAACAUUAUAUUGGGCCUCUUCCCUUGUUAUUAUGGGGUACCUGAUUGAAAUCUACAACAAUGUUCUCUCUCUCUCUCAAUCUCUCUCUCUCCAUCUAUCUAUCUAUCUAUUUGUCUGUCUGUCUGUCUAUAUCUCUUUGUCUGUAUAUCUAUGUGUCUAUCUCUCUAGCUAUCUGUCUGGCUGUCUCUCUAUAUCUUUUUAUGUUUAUUUAUCUGUCUGUCUAUCUGUCUGUCUGUUGUCUGUCUAUAUCUCUUUGCAUAUCUAUCUAUCUGUCUAUAUCUCUUUGUAUAUCUAUCUGUCUAUCUAUAUAUCUGUCUGCCUAUAUCUCUUUGUCUGUAUAUCUGUCUGUCCAUCUAUUUCUUUGUCUGUCUAUCUAUCUAUCUAUCUAUCUAUCUAUCUAUCUAUCCAUCUGUCCGUCUGUCUGUCUGUCUAUAUCUCUUUGUCCGUAUAUCUAUCUGUCUAUCUGUCUAUCUGUCUGUCUGUUGUCUGUCUAUAUCUCUUUGUAUAUCUAUCUGUCUAUCUAUAUAUCUGUCUGCCUAUAUCUCUUUGUCUGUAUAUCUGUCUGUCCAUCUAUCUCUUUGUCUAUCUAUAUAUCUGUCUGUCUAUAUCUCUUUGUCUGCAUAUCUGUCUGUCCAUCUAUCUCUUUGUCUAUCUAUCUAUCUGUCUGUCUGUCUAUAUCUAUCUCUUUGUCUGUAUAUCUAUCUGUCUAUCUCUGUCUAUCUAUCUACACAUCUCUGUCUAUCUCUCUGUAGUGUGCAUGUAUGUGUGUACAUAUGUGUCCAUGUGUAUGUGCACUUUGGCAUCCUGGAUGCAGAAUGAGAAGCUUUACAAAUCAUUUCCCUUCACCCCAUUCCUCCAAAUGGGGAAUGAAAUAAGACGCUGGCUGUCACAUGGGCUACCUACAAAUAAAGCAUGUAGCCCCAAGAUGAACAAUGUGUCUGAAUGUGCAUAGGUUCCCCCACGUCUAAUUUCUGGCUCUUUCCUGGAAAGGGGUCAACACCCAGAACUGCUUUAAGGGCCCCCUCCCCCCCUACCCACCCACUUGUUUUGAAACUGCAAACUUAGAAUUUGGGGUGUUGGUUCAGGAGAAAGGGAAGGCUGCUUCACGAACGGCUCUGUUUGGAGGUUUCAAUGGCGGUGCUCCUUUGAGCGUCUCAGACUCCUCCGCAGCCUCCUCCAGAGCCCAGCAGUGCUGGGCUUUCCUGAGCCCCUACUUGUGAGCUCUUCCUCCCUCCUGACCUGAUGCCUUUCUAUGACUUCAUGUUCAUUCCUUUGGGUAUCCACUAUUUCCCCCCAGGAGAAUCUAAGCUCCUUGAGGGAGGAACUUUUGUCUAUACCUCUGAUCUAGUGAGCUUAGUAAAUGUUUGAAUUGAAGGGACUUUCUAAGAUAGGAAUGUUGGCAAGAGCCAGUGUGGAGGCAUAGUUGGCAAAUGGAGCCGGACUUGAAGCGAGGCUGAAGUUCUGUAUCUGAAUGUGUGACAUUGGACAAGUCAUUUAACCUCUUACUCCUCAGGAACUCUAUAAGUCGAUUAGAAAACGUCCUUUGGUGACUUCUGGUUUCAGAGCCAAGAAGGCUGAGUAGAAGCAGGGAAGCUCAAAAUCAGCAUAAGAAUCCUUUCCAACCAGUCCUAAAAUAACACCACAAAAUGAAUAUGGGAGUGAAAGGACCAAUGAAGAAAGAGAAUGAAACAAUUUUCAAGAAGAGAAAAACCUUAAAGGGCCAGCUUCUGGAGGUCGGAUGGAACAAUACAGCCAGUGCCCGGGAUGAUAUUCAGAGAAAUCUGAACUGCUGUGGAUUCCGGAGUUUUAAUCCGAAUGACACCUGCCUUGCUAGCUGCCUUAAAAACGACCACCA